AGUGGCGGACGGGUGAGUAACACGUGAGCAACCUGCCUAUCAGAGGGGGAUAACGAUUGGAAACGAUCGCUAAUACCGCAUGACAUAGCGGAACCGCAUGGUUUUGUUAUCAAAGAUUUUAUCGCUGAUAGAUGGGCUCGCGUCCGAUUAGAUAGUUGGUGGGGUAACGGCCUACCAAGUCGACGAUCGGUAGCCGGACUGAGAGGUCGAACGGCCACAUUGGGACUGAGACACGGCCCAGACUCCUACGGGAGGCAGCAGUGGGGGAUAUUGCACAAUGGGGGAAACCCUGAUGCAGCGACGCCGCGUGAGGGAAGACGGUCCUCUGGAUUGUAAACCUCUGUCUUCGGGGACGAAACGAGACGGUACCCGAGGAGGAAGCCACGGCUAACUACGUGCCAGCAGCCGCGGUAAUACGUAGGUGGCAAGCGUUGUCCGGAAUUACUGGGUGUAAAGGGAGCGUAGGCGGGCAGGCAAGUCAGGCGUGAAAUAUAUCGGCUCAACCGGUAACGGCGCUUGAAACUGCAGGUCUUG
rnacentral:rRNA from 1 species